rnacentral:rRNA from 1 species
AUUGAACGCUGGCGGCAGGCCUAACACAUGCAAGUCGAGCGGAGCGGCGGACGGGUGAGUAAUACCUAGGAAUCUGCCUGAUAGUGGGGGAUAACGUUCGGAAACGGACGCUAAUACCGCAUACUAUCAGAUGAGCCUAGGUCGGAUUAGCUAGUUGGUGGGGUAAUGGCUUACCAAGGCUACGGUCCGUAACUGGUCUGAGGGGAUGAUCAGUCACAGUGGAACGGAGACAAGGUCCAGACUCCUCCGGGAGGCAGCAGUUGGGAAAAUUGGACAUGGGGCGAAAGCCUGAUCCAGCCAUGCCGCGGGUGUGAAGAAGGUUUUCGGAUUGUAAAGCACUUUAAGUUGGGAGGCGUUACCGGCAGAAUAAGCACCGGCUAACUCUGUGCCAGCAGCCGCGGUAAUAC